AAGCUCCAAUUCUCUUCAGUUCGUACAAAUCUUUCGCCUUUUACUAAAGAUUUCCGUGGAGAGAAUGGAUUGAGAGUUUUGAAAGCAAUUUUUGAAUGCCUGACCUCUCAGUUAGGUU